rnacentral:miRNA from 1 species
AGAAUUGUCCAGUUGCACUG